rnacentral:lncRNA from 1 species
AUUCUUGAAAGAGAAGAUAGGUCUAUGGCAUAAAGGAAGAUCAGAAAGGAGAGGAACUGUGCUGGAGUCUGUCUUUCCCUUACUCACAAUUCAAUCCAGUCGGCUGGGAAGAGCUGAGCAGAGAAGAGAGUUGCUGAAAGGACCCAAACAGGAGCUUCCUUCUGUAAGUGAGAAGUAUCUCCUUCAGGAAAGAAUCUUUGCACCACAGAACAGGAUGGAAGGGAGGUGGUAAGAUGCUAAGGAAGACUGAUGCUGAGCAUGGCCAAGGAGUGGAACAGAUCUGCCCCAGGAUCCGAACCCACAAACCUGGGCCACCAAAGAGCACGGCCCCCUGCCCCAGGAUUCUUCAGUCACCAUGCUUGCCCAGAGAGAAAGGUCCCGAAGAGCAGGCAGGUGGGUAGGAGGGUCCGCGGGCAGGACCCCAGGCUUGUGAGGGAAGAACUCCUGUGAGGUGUGGCUGCCCAACAAUCGGUGAGCGCUGGGGGCAGACGGGCAUGACCAGGC